rnacentral:tRNA from 1 species
GGGUUGGUAGCUCAGUGGUAGAGCAUUCGGCUUUUAACCGACUGGCCGAGGGUUCAAGUCCCUCCCAACCCA